AUGUGACCUCAGCUCAGGCGGGGCUACCCAUUGAGUUUAAGCAUAUCAAUAAGUGAAGGAAAAGAAAUUAAUAAGGAUUCCCCUA
rnacentral:rRNA from 1 species